rnacentral:rRNA from 1 species
AGAGUUUGAUCCUGGCUCAGGAUGAACGCUAGCGGCAGGCUUAACACAUGCAAGUCGAGGGGCAGCACGGGUAGCAAUACUUGGUGGCGACCGGCGCAAGGGUGCGUAACGCGUGAGCAACAUGCCCGUAUCAGGGGGAUAAUCCAUGGAAACGUGGUCUAAUACCCCAUAGUAAGUUUUUGGGGCAUCUCAAAGAUUUUAAAGCUUUGGUGGAUACGGAUUGGCUCGCGUGACAUUAGCUAGAUGGUAAGGUAACGGCUUACCAUGGCUAUGAUGUCUAGGGGUUCUGAGAGGAAGGUCCCCCACACUGGAACUGAGACACGGUCCAGACUCCUACGGGAGGCAGCAGUGAGGAAUAUUGGACAAUGGAUGGAAAUCUGAUCCAGCCAUGCCGCGUGCAGGAAGACGGCCCUAUGGGUUGUAAACUGCUUUUGUAUGGGAGCAAUAAGGGCUACGUGUAGUCCGAUGAGAGUACCAUACGAAUAAGCACCGGCUAACUCCGUGCCAGCAGCCGCGGUAAUACGGAGGGUGCAAGCGUUAUCCGGAUUUAUUGGGUUUAAAGGGUGCGUAGGCGGUUUGAUAAGUCAGCGGUGAAAUAUUUCAGCUUAACUGGAAGGGUGCCGUUGAAACUGUCGGACUUGAGUGUAAAUGAGGUAGGCGGAAUGCGUGGUGUAGCGGUGAAAUGCAUAGAUAUCACGCAGAACUCCGAUUGCGAAGGCAGCUUACUAAGCUACAACUGACACUGAAGCACGAAAGCGUGGGGAUCAAACAGGAUUAGAUACCCUGGUAGUCG